rnacentral:rRNA from 1 species
CCCCCAACCCGACGAUCGGUCGCCGGCUGAGAGGUUGAUCGGCCACAUUGGGACUGAGACACGGCCCAGACUCUACGGGAGGCAGCAGUGGGGGAUAUUGCACAAUGGGGGAAACCCUGAUGCAGCGACGCCGCGUGAGGGAAGACGGUUCUUCGGAUUCGUAAACCUCUGUCUUUAGGGACGAAAAAAUGACGGUACCUAAGGAGGAAGCCACGGCUAACUACGUGCCAGCAGCCGCGGUAAUACGUAGGUGGCAAGCGUUGUCCGGAAUUACUGGGUGUAAAGGGAGCGUAGGCGGGGAGACAAGUUGAAUGUCUAAACUAUCGGCUUAACUGAUAGUCGCGUUCAAAACUAUCACUCUUGAGUGCAGUAGAGGUAGGCGGAAUUCCUAGUGUAGCGGUGAAAUGCGUAGAUAUUAGGAGGAACACCAGUGGCGAAGGCGGCCUACUGGGCUGUGAACUGACGCUGAGGCUCGAAAGCGUGGGUAGCAAACAGGAUUAGAUACCCAUCACUAGGAAUUCGCGGCCGCUGCAGGUCGCCAUAUGGAGAGCCC